GCCAUUUAAGACAUCUUCCUGCUUCUCCUUUCCCUUCCAUCAUGAUUGAAAGUUGUCUGAGGUCUCCCAGCCAUGUGUCCUGUACAGCCUGCGGAACUCCUUUGAAGAAGAAUCAGAAAAUGGAGACUGGGAUUGGAAGCAGAGAUCCGAUGGCCAAAUUACAGAGUCUUCCACUGAAACUAACUCACCUAUGGAUAACCCAACCUGUAAACUCAAUGUGGAACACAGUUUGAGAAAAGAAGUGAGAAGAUUCAAUUUUGAAGUUGGAUCACUCUCCUACAGGCAAUGAAGACCACAUCACUGAUGAACUCUGACUAAUACAUCAUGAACUUGCAGAAUUUUGAAUAUUUGACAAAUCUGAGGAAUUGAAGAGACGGGCACCUCACCUUUUCUGAGCUGAAGAGUUCAUCUGAUGAAACCUGAAGUAGGGAGCA
rnacentral:lncRNA from 1 species